AUACUUACCUGCCUGGGGCUUCCGGCGAUCAAGAAAGCUGGGGCCUGCCUGACCACCAGCAUUGUACAGCGCGGGCUGGACAGGUAUGGGGUCUCUUCGGGGGCGUCACCUGGGACAAUUUUUGAUGGCUACUCUUCUCUCGCUUGAGAGCAGUGUU
rnacentral:snRNA from 16 species